rnacentral:lncRNA from 12 species
AAAUAGGGUAAGAAAUCCUCAACCAGUAGGACUACUUCUCUGAAUCUUGAUAUACAAACAGCACAACAACACUGCAGAUAUUAUUAAAUAGCACUUUCUCCCAAGUUUUUUUUUUUUUAACAUAUAUUCACUAACAAUGCUCAGGACAGUGUUUUAAGGUGUGUACUAUUUAAGUUCCCACUUUUAGAUGAGAGAACUGAGACAUAGAGAGAAGUGACUUAUCUGAGGUUAUCAACAACUACAUGGAAGAGCCCGGAUUUGAAACCCCCUUCACUCCCCAGCCCCCGCCAGAAAAUCAUCUGUUCACAGAGUUUAGUGUCUUGACCAUGUACCAGAAGGCUCUCACAAACUCAAUUAGGCACCACUCCUCAACUGACAUUAGCAAAUGGCUUUUAAAGUCUCAGGUCAGACACCUAAUCACCUGGGGCUAUGGCCACCUGGUACUUUGUACAAUCACCUGGUCAGGUGACACCCUUUUCCUGACUAUAUUAGGCUCUUACCACUUCAAGUUGCCAUGGCUGGGAAAGGGAGUGGCAACCUGCAUGGGCACAGCCUGGAAACAUCCACCAUGGAAGGAUCCUCCCGUGGAGGAGUGUCACGUAUUGGUGAGUGGUGGUGUUCCAAGGUUCGUGGCAACAGGACAAGCUGUAUAUACUUGA